CAGGGAAUCUUGCGCAAUGGGCGAAAGCCUGACGCAGCGACACCGCGUGGGGGAUGAAGGCCUUCGGGUUGUAAACCCCUUUCAGGAGGGAAGAAAUUGACGGUACCUCCACAAGAAGGACCGGCCAACUACGUGCCAGCAGCCGCGGUAAUACGUAGGGUCCGAGCGUUAUCCGGAAUCAUUGGGCGUAAAGAGCUCGUAGGCGGUUCAGCAAGUCGGCUGUGAAAGUUCGAGGCUCAACCUCGAAAUUGCAGUCGAUACUGCUGUGACUCGAGUCCGGUAGAGGAGAAUGGAAUUCCCGGUGUAGCGGUGAAAUGCGCAGAUAUCGGGAGGAACACCAGUAGCGAAGGCGGUUCUCUGGGCCGGCACUGACGCUGAGGAGCGAAAGCGUGGGGAGCAAACAGGAUUAGAUACCCCCGUAGUCC
rnacentral:rRNA from 1 species